AGAGUUGGCGAGGGAGUUGCAGAUUUUUUUCGGAGAAUCUGAGGAAAGUCCGGGCUUCCAAAAAAUCAAACUUGCUGGGUAACGCCCAGUGCGCGUGAGCGUGAGGAUAGUGCCACAGAAAAAUACCGCCUCAUUAGUUAAUAGUGAAUAUGGAUAGUUGAUAAUUUAAAGUUAAUCACUAUUCACUUGAAACUAUUCUCUAAUUGGGUAAGGGUGCAAAGGUGUCGGCAAGAGCGCACCAGCAGUAUCGUGAGGUACUGGCUCGGUAAACCCCGGUGGGAAGCAAGGUCGGAGGGACAAGGGUUGAUCUUUUUCCCGUCCCGCUUUAGAGGAACCGCUUGAGGAAUUUGGUAACAAGUUUCCCAGAUAGAUAACACCCCCCUUUGAUGGAAUGAUCAUUGGGAACAGAACCCGGCUUAUGUCCGACUCUCUCU
rnacentral:RNase_P_RNA from 1 species